UCGAAAUAGCCCAGUUGGUAGAGCGUUAGAGUUAGACUAUAGAUCGAAAGGUCCCUGGUUCGAUCCCGGCCGAA
rnacentral:tRNA from 1 species